ensembl:lncRNA
GUGAGUGAGCAUUCGAAGGUCUCUUGGAGCAGAUGAUGCAUCACUUUCAUGAAAAAGUCAUUGACGUGGUAGCAACCAACGGAAACAGAAUUGCACGCAGCUGUCAGUUGUAACCGGUUUGAUUCUCAUUGGUGUAACUCUUCACUAUCAAGAUGCUGACACUGCUUGGCGCUGUGUUUCUCGAGUUUGCUCCCUGGACCAUCUAUAUCAGAACCACUCGGGACCCAGCCCUUAUCUGAGGUGUCAGGACUGAAAUGUCUGUUUUGGUGAGAGCCCCCACGAGGCAGAUAGUGCCAGGACCGGGCCCCUGGAGGGCGAACGCUGUGCCCUCGAGACCUCGCCCUUCCUCGUCAGGACAGAGCAGUACAUUCGUUUGAUCCGUUUCGCUUCUUCGGCAGAGAGUGGGGAGGAGAGGAAAAGGUGGGGAUACAGACACGCAUCUCGUGGGGCACUAUGGCUCUGCCGCCUGCACAACCACAGUGCUUAGAGAACCAAACCUCUAGAGGAACGUGGAACUCUCAUUCCUAGAAUAAUAUCACCACACACACAACCACAC